UUCCUUUUAUGGUUCAUGAGUGUGAUGAUCAGGUUUUCACAUUGUGUAAGAUGUGCCUCCUCAAACCUUGUUAUGUUGACAUUUGUCAGAUAUGAAA
ensembl:snoRNA